CCGAGCCCGCGCGCCCGGACCGGCCCGCCCCUCCUGCCGCCCCCGCGCGUUUGGCUAGCGGACUCGGCAACGCGCGGCUCCCUCCAGUUCUUGGCCCCGGCUCCCCCGCCCCUCCCAGUCUACUGGAGCCGUAGAGACACCUGCUGAUCCGAGAGGAGAGAGGGAGUAAGAAAAGACUGUGCUGCCUAUUAAAAAUAGAGAAUUUCUCGACAUUCAGGUCUAAGGAUUUUUAGGAACUUUCCAUCUUAAAUCUGAAAUGCUCACCCAUGGAGAGAGGAGCAUGCCUUUAUUUUCUACUUUGAGCAGCAAGAAGGCCUUUACCAGAUGCUAGUACCUUGACCUGGGACUUCCCAGUUUCCAGAAUUGUAAGCCAAGCCAAUAAAUUUCUGUUCUUUAUAAAUGA